UUGCAGGCUGAAACUCGCCUGCAUGAAGUCGGAAUUGCUAGUAAUCGCAGAUCAGCAUGCUGCGGUGAAUACGUUCCCGGGCCUUGUACACACCGCCCGUCACACCAUGGGAGUCGGUAACACCCCGAAGCCUGUAGUCUAACCGCAAGGAGGACGCAGUCGAAGGUGGGAUUGAUGACUGGGGUGAAGUCGUAACAAGGUACC
rnacentral:rRNA from 1 species